CAGCACCUCAAGUGGUCAGGAUGAUUAUUGGGCCUAAAGCAUCCGUAGCCGGCGCUGUAAGUUUUCGGUUAAAUCUGUACGCUCAACGUACAGGCUGCCGGGAAUACUGCAGCGCUAGGGAGUGAGAGAGGUAGACGGUACUCGGUAGGAAGGGGUAAAAUCCUUUGAUCUAUUGAUGACCACCUGUGGCGAAGGCGGUCUACUAGAACACGUCCGACGGUGAGGGAUGAAAGCUGGGGGAGCAAACCGGAUUAGAUACCCGAGUAGUCC
rnacentral:rRNA from 1 species